rnacentral:rRNA from 1 species
GGAUGGGUGAGUAUCACGUGGGCAACCUGCCUGUAAGAUUGGGAUAACUCGCGGAAACGUGAGCUAAUACCGAAUGAAGUCUUUCACCGCCUGGUGAAAGGAUGAAAGAUGGCUUUUAGCUAUCACUUACAGAUGGGCCCGCGGCGCAUUAGCUAGUUGGUGGGGUAAAGGCCUACCAAGGCGACGAUGCGUAGCCGACCUGAGAGGGUGAUCGGCCACACUGGGACUGAGACACGGCCCAGACUCCUACGGGAGGCAGCAGUAGGGAAUCUUCCGCAAUGGACGAAAGUCUGACGGAGCAACGCCGCGUGAGUGAUGAAGGUCUUCGGAUCGUAAAACUCUGUUGUCAGGGAAGAACAAGUUGUGUUCUAACAGGACAUGACCUUGACGGUACCUGACCAGAAAGCCCCGGCUAACUACGUGCCAGCAGCCGCGGUAAUACGUAGGGGGCAAGCGUUGUCCGGAAUUAUUGGGCGUAAAG